rnacentral:rRNA from 1 species
CCUACGGGGGGCAGCAGUGGGGAAUAUUGGACAAUGGGCGAAAGCCUGAUCCAGCCAUGCCGCGUGUGUGAAGAAGGCCUUCGGGUUGUAAAGCACUUUCAGUGGGGAAGAAAGCCUUGGGGCUAAUACCCUCGAGGAAGGACAUCACCCACAGAAGAAGCACCGGCUAACUCCGUGCCAGCAGCCGCGGUAAUACGGAGGGUGCGAGCGUUAAUCGGAACUACUGGGCGUAAAGCGCGCGUAGGUGGUCUGAUAAGCCGGUUGUGAAAGCCCCGGGCUCAACCUGGGAACGGCAUCCGGAACUGUCAGGCUAGAGUGCAGGAGAGGAAGGUAGAAUUCCCGGUGUAGCGGUGAAAUGCGUAGAGAUCGGGAGGAAUACCAGUGGCGAAGGCGGCCUUCUGGACUGACACUGACGCUGAGGUGCGAAAGCGUGGGUAGCAAACAGGAUUACAUACCCCUGUAGUC